GCCGCUUUAGCUCAGAAGGUAGAGCGUUUCCAUGGUAAGGAAGAGGUCGUUGGUUCAAAUCCAAUAAGCGGCU
rfam:Lactobacillus zymae DSM 19395 NODE_14, whole genome shotgun sequence.